UACGUAGGUGGCAAGCGUUGUCCGGAUUUACUGGGCGUAAAGAGCUCGUAGGCGGUUCGUCGCGUCGGCUGUGAAAACCCGGAGCUCAACUCCGGGCCUGCAGUUGAUACGGGCGGACUUGAGUGUUGCAGGGGAGACUGGAAUUCCUGGUGUAGCGGUGAAAUGCGCAGAUAUCGGGAGGAACACCAGUAGCGAAGGCGGCUCGCUGGGCCAUUCCUGACGCUGAGACGCGAAAGCUAGGGGAGCGAACAGG
rnacentral:rRNA from 1 species